AUCACUUCUCAGCCUUUUGGCUAAGAUCAAGUGUAAAGAGAGUCUUGAACAAAAUUUAAACUUACUUUUAUCUCCUGUUCUAUAAUUGGUUAAAGUUUUCUGCACUUCUUACAAUAUAUAUGACUUUUGCCUGUGUAUGGAGAGACCCUAU
ensembl:snRNA U2 U2 spliceosomal RNA